rnacentral:rRNA from 1 species
GGACUACUGGGGUAUCUAAUCCUAUUCGCUACCCAAGCCUUCGUCCCUCAACGUCAGUUAUUAGAUAAAAGGUCGCUUUCGCCUUUGACAGUCCUUAAAGUAUUACAGAAUUUCAACUCUACUCCUUAAAUACUCCCCUCAUCACAUAUAACUCUAGUAAAACCGUACCUUAUUUUAGGCUGAAUUUUACCGUCUAGGUACCCUUUAUACCUAAUAAAGAUGAAUAACACUUGUCUUCUACGUAUUACCGCGGCUGCUGGCAC